rnacentral:rRNA from 1 species
GGGAGACGGUGAGUAACGCGUGAAAAUCUACCCAUCUCUACGGAACACCAGUUGGAAACGACUGCUAAUACCGUAUACGCCCUUCGGGCGAAAGAUUUAUCGGAGAUGGGUGAGCCCGCGUUGGUUUAUCUAGUUGGGGGGGUAAAGGCCUACAAAGGCGACGAUCCAUAGCUGGUCUGAGAGGAUGAUCAGCCACACUGGGACUGAGACACGGCCCAGACUCCUACG